CCUACGGGUGGCAGCAGUGAGGAAUAUUGGUCAAUGGGCGAGAGCCUGAACCAGCCAAGUCGCGUGAAGGAUGAAGGAUCUAUGGUUUGUAACCUUCUUUUAUAUGGGAAUAAAGUGAGGAACGUGUUCCUUUUUGUAUGUACCAUAUGAAUAAGCAUCGGCUAACUCCGUGCCAGUAGCCGCGGUAAUACGGAGUAUGCAAGCUUUAUCCGGAUUUAUUGGGGUUAAAGGGUGCUUAGGUGGUUAAUUAAGUUAGAGGUGAAAGUUUGGGGCUCAACCAGAAAAUUGCCGUGGACACUGGAAGACUUGAGUGUGUUUGAGGUAGGCGGAAUGCGUGGUGUAGCGGUGAAAUGCAUAGAUAUCACGCAGAACUCAGAUUGCGAAGGCAGCUUACUAAGCCAUAACUGACACUGAAGCACGAAAGCGUGGGGAUCAAACAGGAUUAGAUACCCGGGUAGUC
rnacentral:rRNA from 1 species